GAGUGUAUAGCUCAGUGGUAGAGUAUGUGCUUAGCAUGCACAGGAUCCUGAGUUCAAUCCCCAGUACCUCCA
rfam:Camelus ferus unplaced genomic scaffold scaffold1749, whole genome shotgun sequence.